rnacentral:rRNA from 1 species
AGAGUUUGAUCCUGGCUCAGAACGAACGCUGGCGGCGUGCCUAACACAUGCAAGUCGAACGGAGUUGAGGGGCUUGCUUCUCAACUUAGUGGCGCACGGGUGAGUAACGCGUAGAUAAUCUGCCUGAUGAUUUGGGAUAACACUUCGAAAGGGGUGCUAAUACCGAAUAAGCCCACGGAGUCCUUGGACUCAGCGGGAAAAGGGGGGGACCUUCGGGCCUUCCGUCAUCAGAUGAGUCUGCGUACCAUUAGCUAGUUGGUAGGGUAAAGGCCUACCAAGGCGACGAUGGUUAGCUGGUCUGAGAGGAUGAUCAGCCACACUGGAACUGAGACACGGUCCAGACUCCUACGGGAGGCAGCAGUGGGGAAUUUUGCGCAAUGGGGGAAACCCUGACGCAGCAACGCCGCGUGAGUGAUGAAGGCCCUUGGGUCGUAAAGCUCUGACAGAGGGAAAGAAAUGUGGGUGGCUAAUAUCCAUACCACUUGACGGUACCCUCAAAGGAAGCACCGGCUAACUCCGUGCCAGCAGCCGCGGUAAUACGGAGGGUGCGAGCGUUGUUCGGAUUUAUUGGGCGUAAAGCGCGUGUAGGCGGUUUUAUAAGUCUGAUGUGAAAGCCCCGGGCUCAACCUGGGAAGUGCAUUGGAUACUGUAAGACUUGAAUACGGGAGAGGGCAGUGGAAUUCCUAGUGUAGGAGUGAAAUCCGUAGAUAUUAGGAGGAACACCGGUGGCGAAGGCGGCUGCCUGGACCGAUAUUGACGCUGAGACGCGAAAGCGUGGGUAGCAAACAGGAUUAGAUACC